rnacentral:lncRNA from 1 species
CAGAAUCCACAUUCCAUCUAGGCCUUCAGAGUAGAACUGGAAUUGUACCACCAGCUCUUCUGAGUCUCCAGCUGGCAGACAGCAGGUGACGGGACUUCUUAGCCUCCAUGGUCAUGCCCCAGAUCAAGACGCAUCACAUCCAAGGAACCAUGUGCAGAAUUGAUAUGGAGUUUGAUGCCAUGAUUGAAUGAGAGUUUGAGGGUCUUGGGAGGGUGCGAGCAUAUUUUGCAUGUAGAAGGGAUGUGAAUAAUUAAGACCAGAGGACAGACUGAGACAAAUUAAUUACACCUGUUGAACCUGUGCCCACAUCCUUUGCAAUGUGACUUUGUUGCUCUUCCCUUGGAUUUGGUUGAAUUUGCUAAUUGCUUUUACCAAUAUCAUAUGGAGGGAGUAAUGCUAUGCCAGUUCUGUGCUUAGGACUUGAGACCUUUCACACUUCUACUUUCUCUUGGAAUCCUGCCUCCUCUAUGAGAACAAAGUUGACAAGUAUGCUAGAGUAUGAGAGACAAAUGACUUAGUUGUCACUGUCACCCCAUAGCUAUGACCGUAGAAAUCCACUAACCCUGAAAGCAGAGCCACCUAGCCAACCUGUAGCUAACUGCAGACAUAUACUGGAGCACAACCAAGACCAGACGAACCACACAGCUAAGCCCAGGCUAAAUUGCCAGCCUGAAGAAUUGUGAACUAAAUAAAUGUUUGUUGUUUUAAG